UUGGGCAUAACCUCCGUGCCCAUCAGCGGGGGAUGGACGGCUCAUCCCACUGCGGCCGACCCAAGGCGCGCACAGCACCACACCUCCAGCAAGUUCACCGCAGCCGCUUCAUCCCUGUGGCCCCUCCACUCCUUUCCCUACCCCACUGCAGGCUCCGGCUCCCCGGGAGGGGAGAGGGGAGGCGGCGAGAAGGCCGCCCACCCUCCCCAACUCCCCCACGUCCCCCCACCCCCACCCCCACCCCCUCAGCCUGCGCGUCUGCGCAGCUGCGGUCGCCGCGGCUCCAGCUCUGCAGUGCCGGGACUGGGUCUGGUUGGGGAGGCCGUCCAGGUUCUGAAUCCUGUGCCCAGGGAACCCAACACGAGCAGGAGGAGAACGAGAGGCUUGCCUUGGAAACUCUCCGUCCCGGGAAGAUGCAGAGCCUCAGGCCGGAGCAGAUUCGGGGGCUACUGGAGCCCGAGAGGGCCAAGACGCUGCUUCCCCGGGAGAGCAGGGCCUGGGAGAAGCGUGCCACCCUCGCCAAAGACUGGGUGGCUGUGGAGGUUGGGGCCACCAGCUGUGACGGUGACGAGAAAGGUCUGUCUUCUCAAGAGCCUGGGCUGGCCCAGGAGUGGAGCGCGGUGGAGGGAGAUGACGAGUCAGAGGACUCUCAGGGGAGUUUCUCGGAAGGGGGCAAUCAUAAAUAUAAGCGCUAAACCAUAGUUAGCAGCCAAGAUGCACAGCAGUUGGAAGAGCGACAAAGGGGAACCAGGAUUUUUUUUCAUGUCGCCACUGCCUGGCUUUCCAGAUAACUCCCUAUGUCAUAUCCAUUCCCCAGACUUUCCUGAUAUUUUAAGACCUGUUGCACUAUACUCAUCACUAUUUUGGAGAAGAACUGUCACCAUUAACCAUUUUGUCUUCCCAUCCUUCGUCAUGGGCUUUGUGGAGUGGUCGAAAGCUCCACAACAAACGACCAUAGUCUUGGUAGUGUGUGUCCUGUUUUUGUUCCUGGUUUUAACAGGGAUGCCUAUGAUGUUCCACAUUUAACUACAAUGAUGACGACUGUUUGGAAAUAGACGCACUGUUUCUUGUUAAGGAAAUGUCUUGGUUAAAAAUCAGGAAUAGGUUAUUAGCAAAUGCCUUUUAAACAUCUAUCAAGAAAAAAAAAUUUUUUUUUUGUAUUUAACCUGGGGUGAGGUUUUGCAUUACUGUAUUUCAUUGAACUUAAGACAUCGUUGAUUGUAAAACACAUAUUAUUUUAUAUACGACUGAGAAAGGAAAAUACACUGCUUCAUCGUAAGAUGCCACCAACUGGAAGAUGCAUCCCUGCUUCAGAGAGGAUGAAAAAAUGUGCAACUUGGGAUUCGUGAAAUCUGGUAGACUUCUUUUUUUUUUUUUUAAAGAUUUUAUUUAUUUGACAGAGAGAAAGACAGCCAGAGAGUGCACACAAGCAGGGGGAGCGGGAGAGGGAGAAGCAGGCUUCCCGCCGAGCAGGGAGCCUGACGACGACGACGGACGCGGGGCUCCAUCCCAGGACCCUGGGUUCAUGACCUGAGCCGAAGGCAGAUGCCUAACGACUGAGCCACCCGGGCGCCCCUGGUAGACUUCUUAAUAUCACAUCACCUUUGUAGUCUUAGGAUCAUAUGGUGCACCAGUCUUUCCAGACCCUGAUUUGUACUUCAUGAUACUUUAUGUAUGACUCUUGCCUCUUUCUUCAUAUGUAAGAUUGGUGCUAUCUUUGUCACGUUUUGGUAACAUGGCCAGGCUUGCAUCAUAGAAGGACGUCACUUUUAUUGUUGUCUAAACCUUAGAACAGUUUCUGUAGCUUAAGAAGUAUCACUUCCGUGACAUUUUGAAAGAACUUACCAGUAAUCAGGGCCUGGAGCGCUGGGGAGAAAGUUUCAGCUAAAUUCUUGGGGGGCUUUCUCAGUUUCUUCCCAUGUUAUCGGUUUAUGAAUACUUUUUACUUCAUUAAUUUUGAUGAUUUAUAGUGGGUUUUUUUUUAUGCCCUAGGAAAUUCUUCAUUCCAUUGAACUUUUCAGAUUGUUGGCUGAAUUAUGAAUACUAUUCUAUAAUUAAAUGAAAAACUUCUCUUUAUUUUGUUCUAACCCCUUUCUUCCUUUCAACUUCUGUUUAUAGUUGACCCACUAUUAGAUUUAUCAAAGUUUUACCUCGUCUACUAUUACCUUUCCAAGAACUAGCACUGGGAUUUAUUUAUAUCCAUAUUUCUCUAGUUUGUGAUUUGUUUUCCAUGUAUACGUAUGGGGUUUAUUUUUUAUUAUUAUUUCUAUCUCUUGUCUGUUUUUACAUUGAAUAAUUAAUUCAUUUAUAAUCUCUUCUUACAAAAUUAUUUGCUAAAGUAGUGUACUUAAUAAUAAAUGUACUUCUGAUUAUAGCCUUGGCCACAUCUUAAAGUUUGAUAAUUUGUAUUCUUGCUUAUGUUGUUGUCUAAAUGUUAUAUUGUAGUGUUUCUACAAUAUAAGGAGUACUUUAAACUCAGUGAUCAGGUUUAUUUAAAAAUGGUUUUGUUUUAAUGAUUUACUGCACUGUGAACAAAAAAAUGUGGCCUCUAAUAUAUCUGCUUUCAACACCUUUUUAAAAGCAUUUAUUGUGGCCUACAACACAUCCAAUGUUUGUACGUGUUUUAUGGACAUUUAAGGUGAAUAUGUAUUUUCAGUCUUUAGGAUUCAAAACUCUACAUGUCUGUUAAUUAGCUCAGUCUUAUCAGGUAUAUUGCUUAGAUUCAUGUGUUAUUUAAUUCUGGCUCGCCUUAUCUGUCAAAACCCAAUAAGGUUCUGUGAAAAUCUGUUCGUACGACCGUGUUUGUCAGUAUAUUUUUGUAACCUUUGCUUUAUGUAUUCAGCCACUGUGUCAUCUGCUGCACAUAAGUUACAGCACUGUUUUGUCUUUGCCAAUUAAAGAAUACAUGCAAGACGCCAAGCACAAUACCAGCACACAGUAGCCACGCAAUAAAUGUUAGUUAAA